rnacentral:rRNA from 2 species
CUGGUGUCAGCCGCCGCGGUAAUACCAGCACCCCGAGUGGUCGGGACGAUUAUUGGGCCUAAAGCAUCCGUAGCCGGUCCUGCAAGUCUUCCGUUAAAUCCAGCUGCUCAACAGAUGGGCUGCGGGGGAUACUACAGGGCUAGGAGGCGGGAGAGGCAAGCGGUACUUUAUGGGUAGGGGUAAAAUCCGUUGAUCCAUAGAAGACCACCAGUGGCGAAGGCGGCUUGCCAGAACGCGCUCGACGGUGAGGGAUGAAAGCUGGGGGAGCAAACCGGAUUAGAUACCCGGGUAGUCCCAGCUGUAAACGACGCAGACUCGGUGAUGGGUUGGCUUCGUGCCAACCCAGUGCCGCAGGGAAGCCGUUAAGUCUGCCGCCUGGGGAGUACGGUCGCAAGACUGAAACUUAAAG